CUCUUGGCUUACAUUAAAAAAAUUUACACAGCUCUAAUAGGGCACUCAAGUUGUUAAGACUUUCAAAAACUUUCGUGAAAAAUAAGAACGAACCGUCUCACAGACAGCCCACUGGGGUGUCCAAACGCUACUGUGACAAAGCUAUAAUUUGCAGCCAGCCUGUUUGGCCUGUUCAUUUCCCUCAUUUUAUUAUAGCCUUGCUUGUACAGGCUGGAAGGAAGCCUGUGGUUUCGCGGUCAUCCUGCUACCCGCUGAGCCACUCUGGGAAAGUCACUUCGCGGAUGCUGAGCUUCAGCCCUCUGUGUGGAAAACAUGACGCUCUCCUUUGUGUUGCUACUUGAGCGCACAUGUUAUUUCACGCAUCAUUCGUGAACAACUGAACAUCAAGUCACCUGUGAGCCCAACAUCUUCCAACCUGACAAGACAUACUCAGUACUGCUGAAGCUUAGAAAAGACCCAAGGACCAUUACCUCAUAGUUCCUGAAUCCUGUCCCAAGCAUUUAAAGCUGCUGUGCUGCAAGGAACAAGGUGUGUUCGUCAUUGAGAGCCCGGUCCUGAAGAUUGGAGUAAUAGCCCUCACCAAGAAUUUGACUGACUGAUGUCUGCUGGAUGAUGCAGGACAAAACUCUCAGACAACACAAGGUCUUUUUGCUUCCUGUUAGGCACCAUGUUACCACGUUAUUGUUACCUUUAAACUAUAAACCAGAAUAAAUUCUUUUUCUCUUAGGGUGCAUUUUUAUGCAUUCUGUCACAGAAAUGAGAGAAAUGAUCAAUACAGUGAUUCAUAUAAUUUUAACUUUUCUCCAAGGAAAAUGCUACUUGGUUGAAUUUCAUACAUACUUAUUUUCUCGACUUCCCAUUGUAAUACGUUAGUGGCAGAAGGCAACCUUGGCAAAUUGGAGCCAAGGGGAACCACACCAUGUAACAGAGCUCAAGUGGGAGGGUUUUUGCAUCUUGGCUGCUGCUGCUGAGUGUCCUGCUAGGUCCCCAGGGCAGGCCGGUGUAAACGACUGAACACCAACACCCAUAAGUCAUAGUAGGAUGCAUUUGCAUUUCAAUGAUUUAAUCUAUUUUCAAGCCAAUAAGAUUUUGUUUUUAUUUUGAGAUGUUUGUGACAAAUAAAAAAUUUUCAGUCCUUUCUAAACCAAAGUCAAAAUGAACAUAGGAUACACGCUCUAUGUUUCAUCAAAGCAGGAUUCUCCAACUGUGAAAAGUCAGCUUUCUAUAUUCUUUUACUUGUCUCCCAAACUGAGAUUUUGCCACCCUUAGAAGUAGAGACUCUAUACAUGUGACAUUUGCAGAAGCAUCCUCAGGGCCCAGCUGCAGACUUUCAGCUAUACACAGCUCCUCCCAACCUUGAAUUCCCCUGUGGUGCCUAUUGUAUCUUCCGGCUGCACUGCCAUGGCUGACCCCACAACAAGAACACUGGACCUCAAGGACCCUAUGUCUUCAGAUUUCCUGAGGGACUCUGCCCUGGACCCUUCCUGCCAAGCCACCUGGAAGAAACAGAGGUCAGCCAAGCUGGCUGAACGAGGCUGAGAGCAGCCGAGCUUCCCCGAAGAAGCUCAGGCCAACCGAGCCACCUGCCAAAGGCACUCUCUUACCUGCUGAGCUGCUUGCAGGUUGUGCAAUGGGCUCCAGGUUCCCAACUCUUGUGAGCUGUCACCCACGCUGGCGUGGAAGUUGGGGAUGCAGCUGUCUGUGAGCCUUUUUGUCCUGUAGGCCCUCACCUACAUUUAAGUAACUUCAAUAAAACUCACUGAUUCACUAAA